GACGAACGCUGGCGGCGUGCCUAACACAUGCAAGUCGAGCGAGUGAAUCUCCUUCGGGAGUGAAGCUAGCGGCGGACGGGUGAGUAACACGUGGGCAACCUGCCUCGUAGAGGGGAAUAGCCUUUCGAAAGGAAGCUGAAUACCGCAUAAGAUUGUAGCUUCGCAUGAAGUAGCAAUUAAAGGAACAAUCCGCUAUGAGAUGGGCCCGCGGCGCAUUCGCUAGUUGGUGAGGUAACGGCUCACCAAGGCGACGAUGCGUAGCCGACCUGAGAGGGUGAUCGGCCACAUUGGGACUGAGACACGGCCCAGACUCCUACGGGAGGCAGCAGUGGGGAAUAUUGCACAAUGGGGGAAACCCUGAUGCAGCAACGCCGCGUGAGUGAUGACGGCCUUCGAGUUGUAAAGCUCUGUCUUCAGGGACGAUAAUGACGGUACCUGAGGAGGAAGCCACGGCUAACUACGUGCCAGCCGCCGCUGUAA
rnacentral:rRNA from 1 species